UUUAUCUCUCUCUCUAAUCUUCUCGAGUACCACACUGACCCUUCAUUUCUCUCUCUCUCUCUCAUGGUUGCCUUCUCUAUCUCACUUUCUCUUGGUCACUCUCUCUCUUUGGUGGAGGAUGGUGUGGGUCUGGAUGUGGAUGCCCUCGACAGCGUCAACGAGGAGGAGGGAUGUAGGGACCCUUCAGCGGUGCCUUCCCAGUCCACAGUCGUGGCAUUGUAGGCAGCACAAAGGGCGGGAACGGCGCCUCAUGGAUGGUGAUCAGCUUCACCUUCGGCAUCUCAGAGUAGCUGAACUAGAACUCGAACAACACUUCAACAUUGUGGAAGAAAAAAAAGCGCCGCAACCAUGUACUCUAGAGAAUCCGACAAUCCCACCAUGUGUUUGAUUUAAAGAAAUUUGACCAAAUUCUCAAGUGCAUUGUUGGAAAAAAUUACACUAGUGCCUACACGUGAAGUUCGGUCAUUUGAUUUUGGAGAUCGAGCUAAGAUAAGGAUGUACUUCCCCAAUGAGGGUUCCCAAUUGACUCCUCCACAUUGUUCUAUAGCAUUCUACUAGAAUGGAUUAUUGCCCUAUGGUAUUUAUUAAAUACAUGCACACCAGAAGAGUUAUAUGUUUAGUAAUAUUUAUUGGAACGCUUUCCAUCUGGCUACAGUAGGAUCAACUUAUUUCAAAGUUGUAAGGCAUUAAAGCAUUAUCUCCUCUUAAUUUUAUUGUUGUGUUAGCUUAUGAAACCAUUGGUGCAUCGUAAUGUAUUUCCUAUGAAGAACUUCCAAACUGGAGUAUCAAUGUUGAAGUUUGGUCCAACCCUUUUCCUUA